rnacentral:rRNA from 1 species
UAACACGGGGGGCGCAAGCGUUAUUCGGAAUUAUUGGGCGUAAAGGGCGUGUAGGCGGUCUUAUCGGUCAGAUGUGAAAGCCCAGGGCUCAACCCUGGACGUGCAUUUGAAACAGUAAGACUUGAGUACUGGAGAGGAAAGCGGAAUUCCUGGUGUAGAGGUGAAAUUCGUAGAUAUCAGGAGGAACACCGAUGGCGAAGGCAGCUUUCUGGACAGAAACUGACGCUGAUGCGCGAAGGCGUGGGUAGCGAACAGGAUUAGAUACCCUGGUAGUCCACGCAGUAAACGAUGUACACUAGGUGUAGGGGAUAUUAAAAUUUUCUGUGCCGCAGUUAACACAUUAAGUGUACCGCCUGGGGAGUACGGUCGCAAGACUA